AUCGUCUACACACCAAGCUGACACUGCUAAUCAACAGGACUAUCAUGAACUACGACAAUAUGUAGCUGCUUCAUUAAAUGAAAAAUUUAGAGCGGUCGCGCUACGCGUAUUUAUUUCCUUUCGCUUUAGCAUUAGCUCGGGAAGUUGAAGCUAACCUCUAGCUGUUUUGCGGGAAGUGUUGAACAGGGUCCAAAAAUCUGAACAGAGACAGCAUAUAUCGGCAGACACAUAAUGCAACCAACAAGUCAAAAAUCCUCAUUUUAAUAAAAGACUUGGACUCCCAAUCAAAAUCAAGUCCAGCCGAGGUACGCCGCCAACUCAUCACGUAUUAAACAGAUCACGCAAAACCAAAAAAGUGGUCCGUCUCAGAGACAAAAUCAAAACAAUCAGAGGCCAAAACCGAUAUUUUAAACAGAAACGAACAGAAUGAAAUAGUUGUCAGAGAACACAACAAACAAACAAAACAGAUUGAUUCUUCAGGAAUAUUUUUUUUUCCUAUAUAAACCAAUUAGCAAAAGGUGUUGCUAAUUGCAAAAUUUGUCAGAGGGCGAAAUAUGAUCGCCAGGCUCAGAAAAAGAGCUUGACGCAGAUUUGAGAAUGAAAAUUUCCAAGUGAGAGUCAAAGUCCUUGCAAAAGCAAACAAGCGACUAGGAAACACACCUUUGUACAGCUAAUAAAAGGUUGAAAUAGACUUGGUGACAACAGUAUUGGAAGUGGAUUACACUACUUAUUGUUACAAUGACGACAGCCAAACUCAUCGACUACGCUAAUGCAGACGAUACACCAAUCAUAGAGACACAACUGUUUGAGUACUUAAAAUACUCAACUGAGUUAACUAUUCACACAUGAAGCCGAUACUUGACUCAGACGUGAGACACAUGCGGACACUUAUAGCUAGAGUAAAUAUCCAUCAUCGCCAUACUAGAAUCAUUAAUUCGUUGAGCAUCGUUUUAAAAUUUGUAGCCGAGACCCCAGAUGUUGACGACUUCGAAAAACUUUAAUAUACACAGAAGGUGUUUUUCAAAUGCGAAAAUAGAUAACUAUUAACACAAAGACACAGGAACAAAUAAACGAACUAACAAACGCCUUUUAGAAAUAAAUUAAAAAUAAAAAAAUUAAA